rnacentral:rRNA from 1 species
AUUGAACGCUGGCGGCAUGCCUUACACAUGCAAGUCGAACGGUAACGGGCCUUCGGGUGCCGACGAGUGGCGAACGGGUGAGUAAUACAUCGGAACGUGCCCGAUCGUGGGGGAUAACGAGGCGAAAGCUUUGCUAAUACCGCAUACGAUCUACGGAUGAAAUCAGGGGACCGCAAGGCCUUGCGCGGACGGAGCGGCCGAUGGCAGAUUAGGUAGUUGGUGGGAUAAAAGCUUACCAAGCCGACGAUCUGUAGCUGGUCUGAGAGGAUGAUCAGCCACACUGGGACUGAGACACGGCCCAGACUCCUACGGGAGGCAGCAGUGGGGAAUUUUGGACAAAGGGCGCAAGCCUGAUCCAGCCAUGCCGCGUGCAGGAUGAAGGCCUUCGGGUUGUAAACUGCUUUUGUACGGAACGAAAAGCCUUCUUUUAAUACAGGAGGGUCAUGACGGUACCGUAAGAAUAAGCACCGGCUAACUACGUG